rnacentral:tRNA from 1 species
GGCGCUAUCGUCUAGAGGCCAAGGACAGAUGGUUCUCAGCCAUCAGACCCGGGUUCGAAUCCCGGUAGCGCUG